UACGCAGGGUGCAAGCGUUAAUCGGAAUUACUGGGCGUAAAGCGUGCGCAGGCGGUUUUGUAAGUCUGAUGUGAAAUCCCCGGGCUCAACCUGGGAAUUGCAUUGGAGACUGCAAGGCUAGAAUCUGGCAGAGGGGGGUAGAAUUCCACGUGUAGCAGUGAAAUGCGUAGAGAUGUGGAGGAACACCGAUGGCGAAGGCAGCCCCCUGGGUCAAGAUUGACGCUCAUGCACGAAAGCGUGGGGAGCAAACAGG
rnacentral:rRNA from 1 species